GUUCAUUGUAUAUUUAGAAGACAUGAAGGAUAAUAGAUACAGUCAAGGAUGGAUAUGGGGGGGGGCGACCGCACCCCCAAAAAUUUGAAAAACAUCAUAUAUUAUAUUAGCAAAUUUAAAAUUAUAAUAUUUCCGCACCCCUGUAGUGAUAAUCCCGAAUUCGUCCUGGAUACAGUCCAUUGAUACCUUACAUAUGAUGUCUGAACAUUUGGGCAGAGGUAUAGCGAAGGAACACUAUUUUGGUUUCAUUUUAUGUAGGAAAAGGGAGAUCUACUCUGGGAAUACAAUGUUGGAGUUCCAAUUACUUCAUCUGCUUAUGUUGAUGAAAACUUACAGUUGGUAUCUACCUCCUCUCUUAUUUCAGAUAGGUUAAUUUGUGUCUGUGCAAGUUCUGGAAGUAUAUAUUUGCUUCGUUUUUCCUCGGAUUGUGUUGGAGAACUAAACAGUGUGAGGAAAGAUGUGGUACAGGAAUUUGCUAGGCUGGACCUCCAAGGAGACAUUUUUUCUUCUCCAGUGAUGAUUGGUGGCCGGAUUUUUGUCGGUUGCAGGGAUGAUUAUGUGCACUGCCUGGGGUUGGAGACCUGAAUUUCAAUGGAAGUAUAAAGAAGUUGAGGACCUCUGAUAUCUUCCCUCCAUAUUUUGCUACUUUGAUUCCAUGAAUUUGAAUUCAAAUUCAACUUUGGCCUGCAAUUCCACACCUAAAGCGCUCAUAAAUUUCAGUGGUAGUGUGCUGCGUUGCCAUGGACUCUGUACUACAAAAUGUUGCCAUGCCAAUUCAAACUGAGUAAUUUCUUGAAAAAGUUUCAGAUGAGUUCACAACAUUGGCGAGUCUAGAGUCAUUCAAAGCUACAUGUUUACUGUUGUACCAGCUGUGACUACAAUGCCCAUGUGGAUUGUGUGAUUUCUGGCCAUAAAGAUGGCAUUUGGAGACACGGGAUGAAAGAUGGGGCCUGAAAAUUCUAGCAGCACCCAACACCAUUUGAACUGCUCAUUCAAGGACUCCCAAGCUUGUUAUGGCAGUUGCAACUAGAGUUGUUUAAAAUAUCGCCAAAUCUGCUAAAA